AGUGGAUGGGGAGCAACCUAGUUGUGCGUGUUUAAAGGUAGUGCCAAGAAAAGCGGUGAUCAUGAUGAAAAUCAAUUCCCGGUACCCGAAACCGACACAGGUGGGCAAGUAGAGAAUACUAAGGGGCGCGAGGUAACUCUCUCCAAGGAACUCGGCAAAAUGACCCCGUAACUUAGGGAGAAGGGGUGCCACCGAGAGGUGGUCGCAGUGAAGAGGCCCAGGCGACUGUUUAGCAAAAACAUAGGUCUCUGCAAACUCGAAAGAGGAGGUAUAGGGGCUGACGCCUGCCCAGUGCCGGAAGGUUAAAGAAGUUGGUCAGUCUUAGGAUGAAGCUAGCGACUGAAGCCCCGGUGAACGGCGGCCGUAACUAUAACGGUCCUAAGGUAGCGAAAUUCCUUGUCGGGUAAGUUCCGACCCGCACGAAAGGCGUAACGAUCUGGGCGCUGUCUCGGAGAGAGGCUCGGCGAAAUAGGAUUGUCUGUGAAGAUACGGACUACCUGCAUUUGGACAGAAAGACCCUAUGAAGCUUUACUAUAGCUUGGAAUUGUGUUCGGGCUUCCUGUGCGCAGGAUAGGUGGGAGGCGUAGAAGGUAUUCUUGUGGGGAUACUGGAGCCAACGGUGAGAUACCACUCUCAGGAGGCUAGAAUUCUAACUUAAUUAAGGACAGUUUCAGGUGGGUAGUUUGACUGGGGCGGUCGCCUCCAAAAAGGUAACGGAGGCGUACAAAGGUUCCCUCAGACUGGUUGGAAAUCAGUCGCAGAGUGCAAAGGCAGAAGGGAGCUUGACUGCGAGAAGUACAGUUCGAGCAGGGUGGAAACACGGUCUUAGUGAUCCGACGGUGCUGUGUGGAAGGGCCGUCGCUCAACGGAUAAAAGUUACUCUAGGAUAACAGGCUGAUCUCCCCCAAGAGUUCACAUCGACGGGGAGGUUUGGCACCUCGAUGUCGGCUCAUCGCAACCUGGGGCGGAAGUACGUCCCAAGGGUUGGGCUGUUCGCCCAUUAAAGCGGUACGUGAGCUGGGUUCAGAACGUCGUGAGACAGUUCGGUCCAUAUCCGAUGUAGGCGUGAGAAUAUUGAGAGGAGCCUUCCUUAGUACGAGAGGACCGGGAAGGACGCACCGCUGGUGUACCUGUUAUGAUGCCAAUUGUAAGCGCAGGGUAGCCAAGUGCGGAGAGGAUAACCGCAGAAAGCAUCUAAGUGGGAAGCCCACCUCAAGAUGAGUAUUCUGGUGUAAGGUCACGGGAAGACGACCCGUAAAUAGGCACGAGGUGGAAGUGCAGAGAUGUAUGAAGCCGAAGUGUACUAAUAGACCGUCGGCUUGAC
rnacentral:rRNA from 1 species